rfam:Pan troglodytes isolate Yerkes chimp pedigree #C0471 (Clint) chromosome 7, whole genome shotgun sequence.
GCUGGGCAUGGUGGCACAUGCCUGUAGUCUCAGGUACUCUGGAGGCUGAGGUGAGAGGAUCACUUGAGUCCAGGAGUUCGAGGCUGCAGUGAGCUAUGAUCACACCACUGCACUCUAGCCUGGGCCACAGAGCAAGACCUUGUCUCUA